rnacentral:lncRNA from 10 species
CAGGUCCUGAAAUAUCAAAUGGGUGGGAAAGAAGGUUGCCCGAGACAUUACACUAGCUUAAGAGGUGGAGGCGGAGACGUUACGCUACCGCUAAGAGGUGGAGGUGGAGACGUUACGCUGGCGUAAGAGGUGGCGGUGGAGACGUUACGCUGGCGUAAGAGGUGGAGGUGGAGCGUCCUUACUGCACAGGGUGUGGAGGGAAUGGCGUGGGCUCAGCUGGCUUUGUCAUCGGACACGCCGCAGGCUCAGUUUCUGCCUCUGUUUCCCACUAAGCUGUUUAG